rnacentral:rRNA from 1 species
AACGAACCCUGGCGGCGUGGAUAAGACAUGCAAGUCGAACGCUGAUUCGAGGGUAGCAAUAUUCUCGGGUCGGAGUGGCGCAAGGGUGCGUAACACGUGGGCAAUCUACCGCGAAGACCGGUAUAACCUGCUGAAAGGCGGGCUAAUGCCGGAUGUGACUGUCUGGGGGAUUCUUCGGACAUUCAAAGUUGGGGACCGUAAGGCCUGACACUUCGCGAUGAGCCCGCGGCCUAUCAGCUAGUUGGCGGGGUAACGGCCCACCAAGGCUAAGACGGGUAGCUGGUCUGAGAGGACGACCAGCCACACUGGAACUGAGACACGGUCCAGACACCUACGGGUGGCAGCAGUCGAGAAUUUUUCACAAUGGGCGAAAGCCUGAUGGAGCGACGCCGCGUGGGGGAUGAAGGGCUUCGGCUCGUAAACCCCUGUCAUUCGAGAACAAACCCUACGAUUGAAUAGAUCGUGGGCUGAUAGUAUCGGAGGAGGAAGGGACGGCUAACUCUGUGCCAGCAGCCGCGGUAAUACAGAGGUCCCAAGCGUUGUUCGGAUUUACUGGGCGUAAAGGGUGCGUAGGCGGCGAGGAAAGUUUGAGGUGAAAUCUCCAGGCUCAACUUGGAAAAUGCCUUGAAGACUUCCUUGCUCGAGGGUCGUAGAGGAGACUGGAA